ACUCUGAGCAGCGACGCCGCGNUGAGUGAAGAAGUAUUUCGGUAUGUAAAGCUCUGUCAUCUAGGGAAGAAAUUGACGGUACCUGACUAAGAAGCCCCGGCUAACUACGUGCCAACAGACCGCGGUAAUACGUACGGGGCAAGCGUUAUCCGGAUUUACUGGGUGUAAAGGGAGCGUAGGUGGUUUGAUAAGUCAGAUGUGAAAGCCCGGGGCUCAACUCCGGGAUUGCAUUUGAAACUAUCACGCUAGAGUGCAGGAGAGGUAAGUGGAAUUCCUAGUGUAGCGGUGAAAUGCGUAUAUAUUAUGAGGAACACCAGUGGCGAAAGCGGCUUACUGGACUGUAACUGACACUGAAGCUCGAAAGCGUGGGGAGCAAACAAGAUUAGAUACCCUGGUAGUCCACGCCGUAAACAAUGAAUACUAGGUGUCGGGGGUCACAAGACCUCCUGUGCCGCAACUAACGCAAUAAGUAUUCCACCUGGGGAGUACGUUCGCAAGAAUGAAACUCAAG
rnacentral:rRNA from 1 species